rnacentral:lncRNA from 1 species
CUAAUCACAGAAGCCUUUUACAAAAGUGUAUGUUUUGGCUUUUCACAGAUAACAAGAGAAGAUACAUAACUUGUCCUUGGCCACAUGGUGGAACAGAUUGGAAUCAAAUCCUCAAAGAGGAGGGCUACGUUCUCUGCUUCUGGCUAACAUGGAGAUUUGAUGGAGCAGCGGGAGCUGGAGCGACGCACGCGCAGGGAGAAGGGAAGACGCCGCGGGAGCCCGAGCCGAGCCUUCGUUUGCUGGGUGACGGUGACUGGAGCCAGGUCCGGGACAGAGCUGCGUGCCGAGUGGGCAGGGGCCCGGGGGGGCCCUGUGCAGAAGCCACCUGAGCACCCCCCAGCCUCGCUGCCUCCCCGCGGAAGAUAAGAAAGCCACGUUUCCUGAGGAUAUGCGCCAGCCCUCCCUCCCGCUCCUCUGCGCUUGUCAAAAUAUUUCUCUGCGGAGCCAUCCUUGUUUUUCCAUUAAUAAAAGUAUUUUUGGGCUCCCA